GCGAUGGUGAUGCUUUGAUUGGGUAUGGGUGGUGGAGGUGCUAGGGGUCGAUUGCUUUUUUACUAGGUGGCGAGAUGUGUAUUGGGUUCGAUUGGGUGUUGGUCGUGAUUCCAUUGGCAUGGUGUUGGUGUUGGUGUCGGUUGGGUUUGAUAGGUGGUGGUGAUGUGGGGACUGGGUCUGUGAGGUUUGGUGGCAAUGGCAGAGUCAUGGCGGUUGAGAUGAUGAUGGUCUGACAAUCGUGGCCGUGGUAUGUUUGAUUUUGGUUUAUGUUUUGGUGUGAUUUUCGUUUCGUUUCUGUUUUGCUGGGUAGAGUGAUGGGGUUGUGGGUUUCUGUUUAUGGUUUAGGAGUUUGUUUUCUGUGAGAAUGAAAACAUAUUUUUUCUGUUUUUCCAAAGUACACGUUAUGUUGUUUUCAUUUUAUGAAAACAUUCUCACUGUUUUCUGUUUUAUACGGAUUCUUGGUUUGUUUUCAUUCUCAGAAAAUGAAAACGGGCGCUGAAAACUUAACCGAACGGCCCCUAAUAUACCCCAUUUUAGAAUUCUACUUC